GCUAUGCGAUAGCAUGAACGUUUUAGUUUAUGAGGAAAGUCCGGGCAUCACAGAGCGGGGCAGCUGCUAACGGCAGCCGAGGGCGACCUUAGGGCUAGUGCAACAGAGAUAUACCGCCGUUUAUACGGUAAGGGUGGAAAGGCGAGGUAAGAGCUCACCAGAGUACAGGAGACUGUACUGCUAUGUAAACCCUGUCCGAUGCAACGUCUAUUGGUACAGUUUAUCUUAACAUCUGCUCGGUGGAUAAAACUGUAAUGACGGCUUGAGGCCUGCGGCGACGCAGGUCCUAGAUAAAUUAUCGCACACGACAGAACCCGGCUUACAGGCUUACUCAU
rnacentral:RNase_P_RNA from 1 species